UACAGAGGUCCCAAGCGUUGUUCGGAUUCAUUGGGCGUAAAGGGUGCGUAGGCGGCGCGGUAAGUCGGGUGUGAAAUCUCGGAGCUUAACUCCGAAACUGCAUUCGAUACUGCCGUGCUUGAGGACUGGAGAGGAGACUGGAAUUUACGGUGUAGCGGUGAAAUGCGUAGAUAUCGAGAGGAACACCUGCGGCGAAGGCGGGUUGCUGGGCUGAUACUGACGCUGAGGCGCGAAAGCCAGGGGAGCGAACGGG
rnacentral:rRNA from 1 species